rnacentral:SRP_RNA from 1 species
GCCAGGUGCGGUAGUGCAUGCCUGUAGUCCCAGCUGCUUGAGAGGCUGAGGCAGGAGGAUCACUUGAGCCCAGGAGGUCAAGGCUGCAGUGAGCUGUGAUUGCACCACUGCACUCUAGCCUGGGCGACAGAGUGAGACCCUGUCUCAA